CUAGUACACCCCUCUGAGUCCUGUUAGAGUAGAGAAGAGCAGCUCCCACCAGUUCAGCUUCAACACAAGCCAUGUUACCUGCAUCUCUGCUGCUGCUGCUGGCAGCGGUCUCUUGUGUACAGAGUUAUGAACUCACACAGCCAGCCUCUCUGACUGUCCAGCCAGGUCAACCAAUGACCAUCUCCUGUAAGGUCUCAUAUUCAGUUACUGGCUAUUAUACAGCUUGGAUCCGACAGCCUGUAGGGAAACCACUGGAGUGGAUUGGAAAUGUAUAUUCUGGAGACACACAAUACAAGGAUUCUCUGAAGAACAAGUUCAGCCUCUCAGUAGACUCUAGCAGUAAUGUUGUGUUUUUAAAAGGGCAGAACCUUCAGACUGAAGACUCAGCUGUGUAUUAUUGUGCCUACCCUCACAGUGAUACAAACCAGCACAAGAGCUGUACAAAAACCAACCUCUAGGGAUUUGCUGUACAGAAAAUGGAAGCUGAAGAGCAGACGUAAUUCUCCUCAGUUCACUCAAAUCAUGGAAAAAUAUAUGUUUUAUUCAUAAAAUACUCAAUGAGAAA